UAGGGAAUCUUCCGCAAUGGACGCAAGUCUGACGGAGCAACGCCGCGUGAGUGAAGAAGGAUUUCGGUUCGUAAAACUCUGUUGUUAGAGAAGAACAGCGCAUAGAGUAACUGUUAUGCGUGUGACGGUAUCUAACCAGAAAGCCACGGCUAACUACGUGCCAGCAGCCGCGGUAAUACGUAGGUGGCAAGCGUUGUCCGGAUUUAUUGGGCGUAAAGCGAGCGCAGGCGGUCAAUUAAGUCUGAUGUGAAAGCCCCCGGCUCAACCGGGGAGGGUCAUUGGAAACUGGUUGACUUGAGUGCAGAAGGGGAGAGUGGAAUUCCAUGUGUAGCGGUGAAAUGCGUAGAUAUAUGGAGAAACACCAGUGGCGAAGGCGACUCUCUGGUCUGUAACUGACGCUGAGGCUCGAAAGCGUGGGUAGCAAACAGG
rnacentral:rRNA from 1 species